rnacentral:misc_RNA from 1 species
UCAAUUUAAGCACAUUUAGAUCCUGCAGAUACACAUAUAAAGGUGAAUAAUAAAUUCCAUGAAGAAUGAACCUUGAAAAACCUGAAUAUGUGGCAUAAACAAUGUCCAUAUUUUCCCACAUGGAUGAGUAAAAGAACACACUCUCCCCUUUUCUCUUUUAACUAAGAAUUCCAAUGUUCUUCCCCAGUCCACAUGUAAGACAGA